CUACCGCGCGAUCGAGCUCCUGCUUGGGGACCGCCACUACGGCCCGGCACUGGACGUGUGGUCGGUGGGGUGCAUCUUCGGGGAGAUCCUCCUGAGCAGGGCCGGGAGGAAGCAGCCUUU
rnacentral:SRP_RNA from 1 species